AGCGAACGCUGGCGGCAGGCCUAACACAUGCAAGUCGAACGAAGUCUUCGGACUUAGUGGCGCACGGGUGAGUAACAUGUGGGAAUAUGCCUUUUGGUACGGAACAACGUUUGGAAACGAACGCUAAUACCGUAUGGUCCCUCCGGGGUAAAGAUUUAUCGCCAAAAGAUUAGCCCGCACUAGAUUAGCUAGUUGGUAAGGUAAUGGCUUACCAAGGCGACGAUCUAUAGCUGUUCUGAGAGGAAGAUCAGCCACACUGGGACUGAGACACGGCCCAGACUCCUACGGGAGGCAGCAGUUAGGAAUAUUGGACAAUGGGCGCAAGCCUGAUCCAGCCAUGCCGCGUGAGUGAUGAAGGCCUUCGGGUUGUAAAGCUCUUUAGCCGACGAAUAUAAUGACUGUAGUCGGAGAAUAAGCCCCGGCUAACUUCGUGCCAGCCGCCGCAGUAACAC
rnacentral:rRNA from 1 species